GUGCUCUCUUCGGCAGCACAUACGCUAAACUUGGAGCAAUGCAGAGAAGAUUAGCAUGGCCCCUGCGCGAGGAUGGCACGCAAAUUCGUAGGUGUUCCAAAAUUAA